AAAAAGGCAAACUCUGGGUUUCCGUGUCCAACGUUUGACUGUCCGUCUUAUAUGAAAUUUUUUUAUAAUUAGUAUUUUUAUUAUUGUUAGAUAAUAAAACAUGAUUAAUACUUAAUGCGUGACUUGUCUUUUUAAUUUUUUCAAAUAAGACGGACGGUCAAACGUUGGACACGUAAACCCAUGGUUUGUCUUUUU
rnacentral:pre_miRNA from 1 species